rnacentral:lncRNA from 1 species
CUUUAUUUUGGAAACGCUAUUAACUUUUUAAUUAAAAGAAACUAAAAGAUAGUCAGAAUAUAUCUCGGAUAGAAUUUACGAUGAAACUUUUAUAAAAGAGUGACGAAAGAUACCAGAGGGACUUUUAAUUUUGCGUGUAUACUUUGUCCUUAGGCCAUUUUAUGUUUCUUUUUUCACGCCGAACAGCAAUCUAUAAAGGGCCC